rnacentral:lncRNA from 1 species
GCAGGGUGACCUUGCCAGCCCUGAGUCACCGAACACGCUGCAGUCUGGUCUUCCCAGGCUGCCUGAAGCCCUGGCCCCCAGCGCAGCCCAAGGCCUGCCCUAGGAGGAGCGGGAUUGGACUCCAUCCAACAGAGAGCCCAUGGGGACGAGCGCAGGUCCC